rnacentral:lncRNA from 1 species
AUAAAGGCUGAAAGCUGGGGCUUUUAUUCUAGAUUGAUGCAAAAAAGUAAAUUAAUUAAUGAGACUUAAAAUAGAAAACAAAGAGUACUAUCGAAAAGUGAUUAAAGUGAAAGCAAUUAUGAUUUGAUUUUAGUCAAAGAAGUAGCUUUGAUUCUAGUUAUGAGAUUGAUCAUUGAUGCAAUGAUUGAUUCUUUCAAACUUCAACAAACCAGUUCUAGUUGUCGGAGAUCCUCCUAACAACCAAUCUUUCCUUGUUAAUAAAAAACCCCGGAUGCAAUCUUAGGAUUUAAUUCAUUAACAAUUUUAAGAGGUAGAAGGACCUAAUUCUAGUUAAUGAGUUCAACCAUGUGACCCAUUCAAACCAGAUUGCAUAUUCCCUUAGGAAAAAACUAAUUCACCACUAAGUAUCAGAAUAGCCCGAAUGAUUACAGAUUUGGGAGUUUCAAAUGACAAUAUAUUGUUGCAUUGGAUGCCUGACGGGCCUUGUUUAGAUAAUUAACAAACAACAAUAAUA